rnacentral:other from 1 species
AUUUCUCUGAGAUGUUUGCAAGCGGGCCAGUCCCCUGAGCCGAUAUUUCAUACCACAAGAAUGUGGCGCUCCACGGUUGGUGAGCAUGCUCGGUUCGUCCGAGAAGCCUUAAAACCGUGACGACAUAUUCACCUUGAACCAAGGGUUCAAGGUUACAGCCUGCGGCGGCAUCUCGGAGAUUCC